rnacentral:rRNA from 1 species
GNNNGNNAAGACCUUGCUCUUAUGAGUUAGCGGCGGACGGGUGAGUAACACGUGGGUAACCUGCCCAUAAGACUGGGAUAACUCCGGGAAACCGGGGCUAAUACCGGAUAACAUUUUGAACCGCAUGGUUCGAAAUUGAAAGGCGGCUUCGGCUGUCACUUAUGGAUGGACCCGCGUCGCAUUAGCUAGUUGGUGAGGUAACGGCUCACCAAGGCAACGAUGCGUAGCCGACCUGAGAGGGUGAUCGGCCACACUGGGACUGAGACACGGCCCAGACUCCUACGGGAGGCAGCAGUAGGGAAUCUUCCGCAAUGGACGAAAGUCUGACGGAGCAACGCCGCGUGAGUGAUGAAGGCUUUCGGGUCGUAAAACUCUGUUGUUAGGGAAGAACAAGUGCUAGUUGAAUAAUCUGGCACCUUGACGGUACCUAACCAGAAAGCCGCGGCUAACCACGUGCCAGCAGCCGCGGUAAUACGUAGGUGGCAAGCGUUAUCCGGAAUUAUUGGGCGUAAAGCGCGCGCAUGUGGAUUCCUAAGUCCGAUGUGAAAAUUUCCGGUUCAUCCUCGAAGGUUAUUGCAAAUCGGAAACUGCAAGUCUUACAACAAAUGUGACUCCUCGGGUUUAUUUGAACUCCUAUUCAAUUAUUCGAACGACUUAGCCAUGUGUCAUCUC